GCGGAAGGAGCCGGCGUCCCGGGCACAUCCCCAGGGUGGGCACCGCCAGGAGAUGGAUUGCCCAAGACCCUGGCCGCCUCCAGACAGUGUUAACCUCCUUCCUUGAGGACCUUUCCCUCAUCUUCCAGGUCAUGCAAGACCUGGGACCCCCAGGACCUCGGACGUCUGAGUAGGAAAAAAGGUCUAAAACCCAUGUGCUACAUGCCACAUGCCAGAGCGUGCAUCCUUCCCUAGGCCCUAAGUUCUUGGAUUGCCAUGUUCUCCUUAGAUCCUAACUUUUUC
rnacentral:lncRNA from 1 species